rnacentral:lncRNA from 1 species
CCCCAACAACACAUCAUAGCAACAAAUUAUAACAUACAUUAUCCAUAAACUCAACAAUGACCCUAACCUUUGACAACUACCCUAAUCAUGCAUAAAACCCCUUCAAACUUCUCAAAACUUACUCAAAACAUGAAAAGAGAUGAGGAUCUACUCUUACCUCUUGAAGAUCGAGAGGAGAGGCGAUCCAACUCGGAGAUGGGAGAGAUCGAGCUCCUGGAGUCUCCAAGUUUCCAACUUCACUCUUUUUGCUCAAAUAUCUUCAGACCAAGAUAAAACUUGUUAAAAAUCAUAAGAGACUUGAAGGAAGAAGACAAGAUC